rnacentral:other from 1 species
GUUUGGAUUAAAUUUUUUUGAUCUUACUUAAAAAAUAGGGAGCUGUCCCUUACUGUGGUGUGCAAGCCCUCAAUCUACUAGGCUAAACCAGGAGAUGAGAGGGAAGCCUAAAGCAGUAAUCACGGUGCCCACUUGAACUGUUGGUUCAAGAAAAUUACCGAACCAC